AUUGAACGCUGGCGGCAGGCCUAACACAUGCAAGUCGAACGGUAACAGGAAGAAGCUUGCUUCUUUGCUGACGAGUGGCGGACGGGUGAGUAAUGUCUGGGAAACUGCCUGAUGGAGGGGGAUAACUACUGGAAACGGUAGCUAAUACCGCAUAACGUCGCAAGACCAAAGAGGGGGACCUUCGGGCCUCUUGCCAUCGGAUGUGCCCAGAUGGGAUUAGCUAGUAGGUGGGGUAACGGCUCACCUAGGCGACGAUCCCUAGCUGGUCUGAGAGGAUGACCAGCCACACUGGAACUGAGACACGGUCCAGACUCCUACGGGAGGCAGCAGUGGGGAAUAUUGCACAAUGGGCGAAAGCCUGAUGCAGCCAUGCCGCGUGUAUGAAGAAGGCCUUCGGGUUGUAAAGUACUUUCAGCGGGGAGGAAGGGGGUAAAGUUAAUACCUGUGCUCAUUGACGUUACCCGCAGAAGAAGCACCGGCUAACUCCGUG
rnacentral:rRNA from 1 species